CCAUGUAUGGACCAUGUAUGGCGUUUGCUCGGCUCCGGUCGCCGACGACCGACUCCGUGACUCAUGGGGGACUCUUAGGGACCCCACAGUUCUUCGGCGAUCGUCGUCCGUGCUUCUUGCGCUCCGGCCCAUCAUGUCCUGAGCCGCCAAACUCUUUUACAGAGCGCGCGGCGCUAUUGCGUCCAUCGACCCAGCGACACCUGCUUGCAAAAGGGGCUCUGGGGGCGGUGACAGGUCUCCUGGGCUGGAAUUCUCCCGAUCUGGGGUUAUUGCAGGCCGAAAAAAAGCCCAUGGUCAGGUCGGCGCGGCCAAAAUCGGGAGAACUACCCCACAAGGGGGUGAAACGCGAACAGGUGUGACCUCCCGUGCCCCCCACUCCCCGGCACAGCCAACUCGGUCAGCGCCAGCGUAGAUGUCGAAAAUCACGAGCGGACGGACUCAAAGACGUGGGCGACGCCCAACACCGCUGGACAUCAGGUGUGAGGAGGAACUCGUCAAAUGCAACUAACAUCGGAUUGAGUUGUAGUUCUACGGUGCCAUAUUAAAGUUAAUUUAUCGUAAGGAUAGGUAGGCUAGUUUCGGUCAUGAUAGAUGGGUUUUGUUAGGUAGCCGGUCAAAAUAUGUAGGUACGUAGUCAACAAUCCGAGAUAUUCAGAUAGAUAGUGGUGAUGUUUGAUCGAUGCCUGACUUUGAUCUUUUAUACUUUUGAAUUUAAAUUCGCCUUUAUCUCUACGGUAGCCCCGCUAUAGCAUACUCAUAUUUGUAAUUAUAAUUUCGUAUUGAUGUAUGAUUGACAACUCUGAUAAUGCUACUUUAGUUUAAGACACUAAUUACAAAUUUUAAUUAGGCACUAUGUAGUUUUUAAGUAGUCAUAAAUUUUGAUGCUGCUCAAUCCCUGUACGAUUAGGCUGAGACAUGGCUUUAAUAAUUAUGUAUGAUACUUUUUGAACAAUAAAUCGAUUAUGUGACA